GUGAAAAUAUCUGCUAGGCUGGGCGUUAUGAUUUAGGGUUAAACCCGCACGUAACGCCGUUAUUUGUCUGUUCACAAAGAAUCGAAGAAGUUACAUAUUUAUAAUCACCGCUUCACUAGGUUGUGCCAUUUGUUCACUUGAUUGCUCAAUCGGCCCUUGGAUAAACCCUAGAAUUUUCCGUAGCAACUUUCUUGUACCAGAAGCAUAAAUGCGUUGAUGUGUUGUGGGAACUGACAUUUUUACUCCUGAGUAGAUAUGGGUUUUGAUAUUGAAUGCAUAAUUGACAUCCAUACCUAUCCCGGAGAGUAUUUCUGUCCUGUUUGUCGCACACUCGUAUUCCCUAAUGAAGCCGUCCAAUCACAGUGCACUCAUCUCUACUGCAAACCUUGUCUGGCCCAUGUUGCCAAUGGGAGCCGGGCCUGUCCCUAUGAUGGAUACUUGGUGACUGAAGCGGACUCUAAACCCCUUAUUGAGUCAGACAAGACACUUGCUGAAAGCGUAGGCAGAGUUAAAGUGCGUUGUCUCUAUCACAGAAGUGGAUGCACAUGGGAAGGUCCCUUGUCUGAUAACACUUCCCAUUGUUCUGCCUGUUCCUUUGGCAAUUCCCCAGUUAUAUGCAAUAGAUGUGGAGUCCAGAUUGUGCAUCGACAAGUGCAUGAGCAUGCCUUGAGUUGUCCUGGUGUAUAUCCUGCACAGCAGACAGCUAACGGUACUCAAGAUAAUCCUAGCUCUGGCGCAGCCACCACUGCUGGUGCUGGUGCUGGUGCUGAGUCGAAUCAAACUACAGCUCAAUCAGGAACUCCAGCAUCUCAGACGCCAAACCCUCAAACAUUAACAGCUUCUGUGCCACCUGGACAAGAUCCCAAUCAGCAAACAAAUGCCAGCUCUCAGGCCCUUGCUACAGCUUCAGCUGGUGUGCCUACUUCAGACCAGUGGUAUCAGCAACAAUAUCAACAGUAUUAUCAGCAAUAUGCUGGAUAUGAUCCUUAUCAACAGCAAACUUAUCAACAAUACUAUCCUUAUCAGCAGCAACCCGUCCAACAAUAUCAGCAACCUCAGAUUUACAUGCAGCCACCUGCACAAACCCACACUCCGGUCCCAACACAGCCUCAACCCCAGCCCCAGUCGCAACCACUUAAUCCCCAAUCUCAACCUCAAAUGCAAGCCCUACCUAAGGGGCAGACUCAAUCACAGGUUCAAGCUCUGGCACAACAGAAUCAAAACCAGGUUCAAGUCAACCCACAGCAGCAGCUCCCACCUACUAUGCAACUUCAUACCCAAAUUCCAUCACAAAUAUAUCCAACUUCUCGUGCUCAGCCACCUAAUCAACCUCCCCCAUAUCCGCAGCCCUAUCCAAUGCAGCCUCAUUCACAACACCAUGUGCAGGUGCCACAGUAUCAGCAGCCUCCUGCCCAGGUUCAUCUCCCCCCGUCUUCUCAAGGCCAACCGCAUCCUCCUGUGCAACCACAACCUCAUUCACUAUUUCAACCGCAAAUAAAUGUGCAACAUCUUCCACAAUCUCAUGGCCAAUUGCGCCCUCCUCAGGCCAGCCAGCCUGCUCAUGCACCGGGUCAGACCCUCCAUUCAACAGCCAAUACAGUUUCAGGUUUCCAUUCCUAUCCACAACCCCAGCCCAUGCAGCAAGCGCCUGUGGGGAUUAACCAGAAAACUCAAAUGCGUCCACAUCCUACUAGUGGGUCUAUGCCUCCGGUUCAAACUCAGGGUCAGGUUACUCAACAACCUCCUUUAGUGCGCCCACCUCAGGGUCUAGUCGCCAAUCAGCAACCGGCGCUUGUACCUUCUCAAGGUCAAGCUCCUGCAAAGUCUCAACUUUAUCCUACUGCUCAACAAGUAGGACACCCAAUUCAGCAACAUCCUGUUCAGCCUAAUCAACAGCCAAUGCCUCAACAAUACAGUCAACAGCAUACAUUUCCUGGUCCAUUUCCGAGCCAAUCACACCAACAAGGUCAUUUUACUCACCAGCAGCCAUUGCAGUCUCAGUUCCGCCCUCAAGGUCUUCCUAGUGCGGUGCCUCAAAGUUUGCAUGCGUAUAUUCAGCCACAGCAAAAUGUCGCCUUACCACCUCCCCCACAACCUCAACAAUCUCAAACAUAUAUAGGAAGGCCUGGGAUGCAAAAUCAUGUCCAGGUGAUUUCUCAGGCUCAUGGUGGAUAUAAUACUGCAGCCCAGGUUAGACCUAUCCAGCCUGCUUUAAGCCAGCCACAAAUGAAUCAAAGUUAUGGGAACCGCAUAAGCAACGAGCAUGAGUCGAUUGAUCAGAAGAAACGGUCAUCCCUAGAAAGUAAAAGUGAUAAGUUACCUGACAAAACUGCAGGAAGACCAGAAGUGGGAGUUUCUUCCCAGGAUAAUGCUCAAAAGGAUCUAAGUUCCCUUGCACAGAGCGCCGGCAGUGAUAUAGAUGUUCAUAAGGGUGAUUCAGAUGAGCUUAUGGACAAAAGAACUGUUAAGGAAGAGGGAAAUGAGUACUCUUUGGAGCCUAAAUCUGCUGCCAAAUCAGCUGAUGCAACAGUUAAGCCAGAGAAAGAUGCCUAUGAUGAUGCUCCGAAAGAGCUGGACCAGGCUUUGGCAAAUCAUGCAUCUUCUGAUGCCACCGAUGGUUCAAUGGAGAAUCUGAACCCUGGAAGAAAUUCACAUGUCGCUACCGUUGACGCAGGGGGUUUUCAGCAGUAUGGCCAUGAGAUGCCACCACCAAAAUAUGGACCAUCUGGUCAACAAAGGUCUGUUGGUCCUAUGAUGAUACCACCAAUGCAACCUGCAGGCCGUUCUUCUCAUGCCCAAGGUCCCGGAUAUCCCCCUAAUGCAACGAUGCCUUCAGGGGAUGUGCCUCAGGCUGGUCAGCCAUUUAAUUCUCGUGUUCAUCAUCCACAAUUCCUGAAGCAGCCUAGUAGUGCCCCCCUUGGUGCUAUCCCCGGUCCAGGGUCUACAGCACCCUUUGCUAGAGGGCAUGGUCAUUUUCCUCCACCAGGUGAUUUCCGAGAGGGGAUAACGGGAAUGGGAAGAGCACCGUUAAGUGGUCCUGAAAUUCAUAGUGGAACACAACACUCGGUUAAUCCAGCAGAAGCUGAAAUGUUUCAAAACCAAAGGGUGAAUCGGUUUGAUGGAAAUCAACCAAAUCCAUUCCCCCCAGGGUCCUUUGAUAAGGUUCCAUUUGGCCAACCUAGAGGUAUGGAAUCAGCUAGGGAUACAAGGUUGAAGGCGCCUAUGGGGGAGCAUUUAAGUCCUUUACCAGUGACUCACGAUCAAGCAUCACGGCUUCUUGACAAACCACCUCGCGGAUUAGGAUACGAUUCUGGAUCAAAAUUUGAGGCCAGUGCUGGGGUUCCGCCUAACAGAUUAUUGCCUCCAUAUCAUCCUCCUGGCUCGAUGCAUUUCAAGGGAAUUGGAGAAAGAGAAGCACAGCUUGGUCCGCAUGACGAUGAUAGAAAAAGGGCAGGCUCUGGAUUUGGUGCGCAACAUAUGGAUUAUUUGUCUGCGAGAAACCCUGAUGGGGAGUUCUUUAACAUUCCACCACGUGGAUUUGCAAGUCACUCGCGUUUUGACGAUAUUGGUGGCAGAGAGCCCCGUCAAUUUAUUGAAGGGCCUGGGCCUUUCAAUUUACCUUCCAAUCAAGCUGGCGGUUUAUUCUCUGAUGGUAGGUUCCAAACUUUGCCUGGCCAUCCACAUGGAGGCGAGAUUGAUGGUCUUGGGGAUUUGAGAGGUAGCGAGCAUGCUACCUUUGGUCGUCCUUACAAACAUGUCCGGAGUGGUGAUCUGUUUGGAAAAGACGUGCCAAGUCAUUUGCAUCAUGUUGAGCCUUUGGAUCCUCAGAAAUUACCAAGUCAUUUACGUUUUGGUGAACCUGCUGGCUUUGGUCCCUUUGCUGGCCGUCCUAAUAUGGGGGAGUUGUCUGGGUUUGGAGAUAUUCCUGGUUUUGGUGAAUCAAUUGGACGCAACAAACCUGGUAUGCCACGGUUUGGGGAGCCUGGCUUCAGGAGCAGGUAUCCUGUCCCGGGAUUUCUGAAUCACGGGCUUUAUGCAGGUGAUGUGGACUCCUUUGAUAGACCAAGAAAGAGAAAGCCCGUGAGCAUGGGAUGGUGCCGUAUUUGCAAGGUUGAUUGUGAAACUGUUGAGGGCCUAGAUAUGCAUUCACAGACAAGAGAGCACCAGGAUAUGGCUAUGGAUAUGGUCAGGUCUAUCAAGGAGCAAAACCGAAAAAAACAGAAGACUUUUAGCGAUCGUGCUUCAGUUGAAGAGAAAGGCAAGACUAGAAAGGCAGUGUUCGAGGGCCGUGUUAGAAAGACUUGAGCUGGGAUGGUAAAUAGGGAGUGGAAAGACGUGAUUGAUGGUUGUAACUAAGCCUUCAGUCAAGCGUUUGCAUCGCGAUGUAGGUGAUUAGCUUUACCGUCUUUCUUCUUUUUCUGGGGGUUUUUAUCCUAGCUUUGUCAUUUCAGGUUGCUGCCCUGUUGUUGGAGAUGGUUUGGAUUGGAAGUUUCUGUGGCAAAGAUCUUUUCGAUUCGACCUGUCUUUUUCCGGCGAGGCAGACGAGAUAAAAGGCUGACUCUUCAGCAGACUGGUUUACUCGCAGUAUUAUGGGUGGUUCAAUCAUGUGUAAGAGACCCGGCUGCUGAAGUCAUACCUUUGGCACCCAAGACAUAAUAGGUAUACAAUAGUUUUGUUUUGCUACUCUGCAGCUUCACAGGAGAGGACACAAGUUAACGUCACAGAUUCUUCAGUGAAAACUGGCCAGCUACAAUACACUGGAAAAGGUCAAACUAUUUCAACA